rnacentral:piRNA from 1 species
GGAUGGAGCUUUGCCUAUUGGGCCUCAAAG